AAGUCGUAACAAGGUCUCCGUUGGUGAACCAGCGGAGGGAUCAUUACCGAGUUUACAACUCCCAAACCCAAUGUGAACGUUACCAAACUGUUGCCUCGGCGGGAUCUCUGCCCCGGGUGCGUCGCAGCCCCGGACCAAGGCGCCCGCCGGAGGACCAACCAAAACUCUUAUUGUAUACCCCCUCGCGGGUUUUUUUUUAUAAUCUGAGCCUUCUCGGCGCCUCUCGUAGGCGUUUCGAAAAUGAAUCAAAACUUUCAACAACGGAUCUCUUGGUUCUG
rnacentral:misc_RNA from 1 species